UGGCAAUGAUGACAAAAAGGCCGGACUUACAUCUGCCUCCAAAUGGUUGGUAGUAGAUUGACGAAACAUUUCCUAAGGUAUUUGCUGAGCCAG